rfam:Monodelphis domestica chromosome 5, whole genome shotgun sequence.
UAAAAGGCCUUUUUAAAGGCAACACAAGUGUUAAAUAGCAGAGAUUU